UCCUUCUUUGGCAAGCGUUGUCCGGAAUUAUUGGGCGUAAAGCGCGCGCAGGCGGUUCCUUAAGUCUGAUGUGAAAGCCCCCGGCUCAACCGUGGAGGGUCAUUGGAAACUGGGGGACUUGAGUGCAGAAGAGGAGAGCGGAAUUCCACGUGUAGCGGUGAAAUGCGUAGAGAUGUGGAGGAACACCAGUGGCGAAGUCGGCGCUCUGGUCUGUAACUGACGCUGAGGCGCGAAAGCGUGGGGAGCAAACAGG
rnacentral:rRNA from 1 species